rnacentral:rRNA from 1 species
ACAGAGGGGGCAAGAGUUAUUAGGAAUUAUUGGGCGUAAAGGGCGCGUAGGCGGUUUUUUAAGUGAGAUGUGCAAUCCCCGGGCUCAACCUGGGAACUGCAUCUCAGACUGGAAGGCUAGAGUGCUGGAGAGGGUGGUAGAAUUCCACGUGUAGCGGUGAAAGACGUAGAGAUGUGGAGGAAUACCAUGGGCGAAGGCGUCCACCUGGACAGCAACUGACGCUGAGGCGCGAAAUUGUGGGUAGCAAACAG